rnacentral:rRNA from 1 species
UACGUAGGGGGCAAGCGUUGUCCGGAUUUAUUGGGCGUAAAGAGCGUGUAGGCGGCCUGGUAGGUCAGCUGUGAAAACUCGAGGCUCAACCUCGAGACGUCGGUUGAAACCACCUGGCUAGAGUCCGGAAGAGGAGUGUGGAAUUCCCGGUGUAGCGGUGGAAUGCGCAGAUAUCAGGAGGAACACCAAUGGCGAAGGCAGCUCGCUGGGACGGUACUGACGCUGAGGCGCGAAAGCGUGGGGAGCAAACAGG